rnacentral:misc_RNA from 1 species
AAAGAGGUUCUCCCAAAAUAGGUAUGUUUAAUUUUAAACAAACCUUGCAAGCUAUUAUGAUAGUUUGUACAUAUACAAUAAUGGGUUACACCUUGUCUUAUCUCAUUUUUUAACAUGAAUUUUGGUAAAUUUUACAUCACUUAUCUACGAUCAAUAAACAUGGUUAUUAGAUAUGCAAGUGACAACUAAGGUCUAAAAGUGUCCUAGAGCCUAGUUACAGGUGGCAGUUGCCACCCAUACCCAUUUACCAUCCUUAUCCAUCCAUUUAAAAUGGCUAUGGGUCAUAUAUGGGUUAUACAUAAAAUGUAAGUGGGUGAGCAAAUAAAAAAAACCUUCUACUAACAUGGGUGGAUUGACUUCACGCCCUCAUUUCUUUUGGUCCUGUUCCUUGCCUCAUGCAGAAAGAGGGAUCAAGGUGGGAAAGGGGGAAGGCAGCUG